UUAAUUUAUCUUCUUUUAUUGUAAUAUUAGACUUCUAUUUGUUUGAAGUUUUUUGAUGUUAGAGAGACUUUCUUGACAUAAGUAGAUCUAAUGUCAAAUGCUCCAUAGUAGUUAUAUAAUCUAUUUUUUUGCAUUGUAUUAAAUCUAAAUCAAAGAAAUAAUUCUCUUGGGAAUUGCUUUUGAGGUCGAGCUAGAUAUCAAUCAACACAAAAUUAAAAGUGCUUCUAAAU
rnacentral:lncRNA from 1 species